rnacentral:lncRNA from 1 species
GCUUCCUUGGCAUGUGUUGAAACAUCAAAGAUUGGAUUUUGCUAAGUGGAUUCACUUACGGGUAGGUCUGCUUCCUCCAGCUGCUUCCUUUCAGUUGCCAGAGGCCGUCUACUCUCUUUGUCUUUGGGGGUUCUCAGCUGCAGUGCCCAUGGCCCCUCUAAAAGAAACUUGGCCUACACUGGCCCCCUUGCCUUGGGCAGAGGAGGGGAGUCUGGUGAGGCUCCUUUGGCAUGGUGGCUCAGGAAUGCUGGGAAUGUCAGUAGCGUAGGCUUUUUUCUCCCAGCCCAUGCCUGGACUCAGGAUGAGGGCAGGUUCCUGAGGGAGUGGUAGGGAGAAUGGGUCUUAGGGGGGCUCUGGGCUGGGGGUGGAUCUUGCAAAUGCCCUUUUACUAUUAGCUUUGGAAACAGUUUUAUUUUAGUUCCUCCUCCCCUGGUGGCUACAAGCCUGCAUUUUUCUCAUCAAUGUGACUGUUAUGAGGUGAUCUUCCCUCCCCUGAUUCUGGAGUUUGGAAACACUGAAGGACUCUGGCCUGGGUGUGGGAAGAACUCAGAGUGUGGCAGGCAGUCAGGACAGUAGAGCCAGAGCUUCCUUUACUGUCAUGAGCUUGCCCUGGUUUUUAUCUGGGAGGGAGAGAGUCCACAGGAUGCUUCUUGGGUAUGGCCCUUCCAGGCUAUUUGUCUAGGGAAGCUGAGCUAGUAUUUAUGACCGUAGGGCAUGGUGGUGGGAAAGAAAAGAACCAGAAGUCUUCAGAGAAGAAGGAAGGCUAGGCAAAAACUGGUUUCUCUUAAAGUUUCUCAUUGUGACCACUCUCCCUGCUUUCCCCCUCAGGAAUCAUACCCUGCUGUGCCCCCCAUCUGGUCGGUGGAGUCUGAUGAUCCUAACUUGGCUGCUGUCUUGGAGAGGCUGGUGGACAUAAAGAAAGGGAAUACUUUGGUGAGGGGGGCAGUGGGGAGGAGUAUGUGUGUUCCUGGAGAGGCUUCAGCAAUAAAAGUACCCUGUGAGAGGUAGCUAGAUCUGAAAAGGGUGGUACUCUAGGUGGAAUGUCUUGGGCCUGACUUUUUAAGAGAGUUGCCUACUGAAGCCAGAGGAAGCAGAGUCCUAUAGCAGAUCCAGGAUAGAUCCACUAGGAAAAGUCAUUCCUAUCACCACAAGGUCCAUCCACUGUAGAGAACCAGCCACCAUUUUGAGAUCUAAGCUAAAAGCUCACACAGCUAUCCAGAUUGUAGUAGGAAAGACAUAUUUGAUGUCUCCCCACCCCAGCUCUUGCAGCAUCUGAAGAGGAUCAUCUCUGACCUGUGUAAACUCUACAACCUCCCUCAGCAUCCUGAUGUGGAAAUGCUGGAUCAGCCCUUGCCAGCAGAGCAGUGCACGCAGGAAGAAGUAUCUUCAGAAGACGAAGACGAAGAGAUGCCCGAG